GAUGAACGCUGGCGGCGUGCCUAAUACAUGCAAGUCGAGCGAACAGAUGAGGAGCUUGCUCCUCUGACGUUAGCGGCGGACGGGUGAGUAACACGUGGAUAACCUACCUAUAAGACUGGGAUAACUUCGGGAAACCGGAGCUAAUACCGGAUAAUAUAUUGAACCGCAUGGUUCAAUAGUGAAAGACGGUUUUGCUGUCACUUAUAGAUGGAUCCGCGCCGCAUUAGCUAGUUGGUAAGGUAACGGCUUACCAAGGCAACGAUGCGUAGCCGACCUGAGAGGGUGAUCGGCCACACUGGAACUGAGACACGGUCCACUCCUACGGGAGGCAGCAGUAGGGAAUCUUCCGCAAUGGGCGAAAGCCUGACGGAGCAACGCCGCGUGAGUGAUGAAGGUCUUCGGAUCGUAAAACUCUGUUAUUAGGGAAGAACAAAUGUGUAAGUAACUAUGCACGUCUUGACGGUACCUAAUCAGAAAGCCACGGCUAACUACGUG
rnacentral:rRNA from 1 species